GUCAGGCCGCUCCACCCUCUUCUUGCCAAAGCGCGGGGAGGGGUGGCCGGGAACCUGCGCGCUGGCGGGGUCCACCGCGCUCGGCAUCGUCGGGGCUGCAGCGGCGCGGGCGGCCAGAUUCGCGCUUCCGGUCCUGGGGGGCUGCGGGGGUCCACCCUUCAGCCUCAGCCGAGGGGCGCGGCUGCUCCCUCCUUCACUCUGCCUCCGCGAGAGGAUAUAAGAAGAGCAAUUUUCCUACGCCCUUACUGGCAUUAUGGCAUCUCACGGUUGUUCAGAUGGUAGGAAUUUCAUGAGAUGGCGGCGCCAUUUGGCCUGUCAGCAUCUCUCCUAGCACACAGACUCACGUCUGAGAGCCCCUGUUGUAUAGCAUCCAUUCUAGAUGGAUUGCACCCACCUUCUCUGGAAAACGUCCAGUGACAGGAUCCCGCCACCUCGCAAAGACGUCUGUUCCCAUCUCCGCUGAAAAUCUACCUAUUUCUGGCCCUGGAUUAUUUCAGCGACCUCCGAACUGAUUCCCUGUCUCCAGCUUCUGACUUUUGCAAGCCAACCUAUAUAUGCUGAAAAGUAAAUCUUCCUAAAAAGCCCAGCUCUGAUUAUGAUGUCAUCUCCCUGAUGAAACACCAUCUUCAAAUUAAGUCCAAGUUUCUCUUCCAGGCUUCCAAGCAUCUGUAUGUGAUAUGUCCCUAAAUUCCCCCUUCCCCUUUAUCCCACUAUUGGAUUCUGUCCUACAGGGAUUCUGGUUCCAGCUGAACUGAGU